GCAUAUUAGGUAAGACUGGCUAGCUAUAAUUUAAGUGGUUAAUUUAAUAUUUGUCUCUUUUAAAUAUGUGUUUUGGCAAUUUCAAAUAUGCAUUUAGACAAUGUAAAAUGUCUUAGGAAAUUUAGGAAGAAAAGUCAUGUGGGGGGAAUUAAUUUGGAGGUGUUUGGAGGAAUUAUUUUUGUAUGAGGAAUGACUUUAUAUGUUUCUGUAUGGACGUCUAGUGUAGGGAGACUUACAACUUUUCUCAACAAGUUUAUCUUUGAACUCAUUUACUUUCAAUUUCAAAACAUGGUUAUAAUGGCAAGUAGAAACAUGGUUACAUAUUCAAAAACAUGGUUACAUAUUUAUAAUGGUAGGUAGAUGAUUCCUACUUCUUCUAGAAUUCUCUCAACUAUUAUUUUUUAAUACUUUUCUAGAAUUCUCUAGUUUUAGCUAUUUCUUCUUUAUCCUGACUUAUUAUCAUCAUUCUAGAUCUUUUUACAAAUUUCUUCUAAUUUCUUUUUUCCUUCUUUUCUUUUAAUUCUAAAAUAUUCUUUACAAAUCAAGCUUAUUACUUUAUUCUACCAAAAUGUGCAUUUAGACAAUUUGAAAUGUGCAAUUAGAAAAUUUUGAACAUAUAUUUAUACAUGGAGUCCUAUAAUUAAUGAUGAGUUUUGGCAUUAUCGAAUGUGCAUCAAUUAUAAAAAUAAGUGCAUUUCAUAUGAAUGUCAUUUGCAUUUAUUCAUUUUUGUAUAAAUAAGUCGAAUGUGCAUUCAUAAAGAAUUAGCAUACAAUAAAAUAAAAAAACAUGUGAUCUAAAAUAAAAGAGGUGAAUAGAUGUUGAUAAGUUGAAUCUGGCAAUACACCUGGCCGGAAAUAAACAAAAAAUUUAUUGUGAAAAUGAAAAAUAAGACACAAUAACAAUUAUUAUUCAUAAUUAAUUCCUUUAAAAACAGAAAUAAUCCGUUACUUAUUUUGCUAAUCACAGUCCUCACCUUACAAUUUUAUACAAAAAAAUGGGGAAAAUCAUGGAAUCAUAUCAUGUAAUUAAAUUACUUCUUUAUUUAAAAAAAAAAGAUUUUAUUUGAACUCCUCCUCCACGGCUCCACAUAAUAACAAAAUUGGUAUUUUGAUUAUUAACUCCACAUGAAUAUAUAUGUGUAUUAAUACAGUAUCGAAUUCAAGCUAAAACAAGAUGCGAGGUGAAGAAAGUAGCAGUGAAGGAAGGUUGGAUUUGAGGCUGCGCGCAAAAGCAAUGCAUCCAAACCAUUGAAAUUUAGGUUUUCCCAUUGCAACUUCUGCCUGCGUAUAUAUAUGUUCCACACAAACUGCAGAGAAUUAAGAAGAAAAUUACAGCUAGAAUACAUUAUGACGGCGGCCGCCGACGCCGGAGUUGGUGGUUGCCGGAACUGGUUCAACAUCAACUAGAACCAGAGCAGAAGAUCCCAACACGCUUGAUUUGGAUCUCAUCAAGCUCUAGUUUAGUUCAAAUAUGAAUCUCAAUUUUUGUGGCUAUCAAUAAAGCAGGCGCUGCAGCCUUUUGAUUAAUUCUUUGGCAAAUAGUAUUGUGUUCCCUCUUUUUGUGUGUAUAGGGUUUCUUUUUGGUGAUAAGAGUGUGUGU
rnacentral:lncRNA from 1 species